CCACAGCCCCGCCCACUGCGUGUGCGCGGCCCCGCUCUGCAGCCCGCGGGUGGUGUCCGGCUGCUGGGCAGGAUGCGGGCGGUGGGGCCGGAGGAGAAGUCGCUCCACGUGCAGCCGCUUUUGGCAGAACUACCUGAAGAAGCUUGUCAAACUGAAUCACGGUGCUGGUGUUCUGUUAGCAGACUGAUUAAGGCGGCCAGAGUAAUGGUAAGCAGCAAGGUUUCAGACUUCCUGCAUCUGGUUUGCUCGUUGGUUUCCUAUGUUGCUAAAAUGAGAUAAAAGCCUUAUGCAAAAAGCAGCUUUAGCC
rnacentral:lncRNA from 1 species